UUGAGGCAUGGUGUGAGUUAAGAUGGUCUUAAGUAGGCCUUCUGGAGAAAGAGUCUCUGGGCUUGUAGUCUGUGUGUGUGAAGCUUAUUGGAAAACGAAUGUGAGGACAACAGUUAAAAAGCAUUGAGCCCAACUGGUUUGAGCAGAGGAAGAACUAGAAUGGCGAAACACACGCAAAAGAGGCCUCCGCAGACACCAUGAGGAGUGCUGGCUCUAUGAUGACCAUUCCAAGUUGCCUCCAAUUCCUGGAACUUAGACUGUUGGGGGAGGAUCUUGUGCUAUGUAUUUAAUUGUUAAUUACUGGUCCCCCAAGAUCUGGUUACACCCCAGAGGAGCGCAAUGUCAUGUAUAGCAAGUGAUGCUGUGUAACUCCGACCUCAAUUAUACCUGAUUGGCUAUUAAUAAAGUAGCUGACAGCCUGGGCUGGGCAGAAGAGAGGGAAGUGGGGUUUAGGUUCCCAGGCUUAGGGUCUGGGAGAGAGCGUGAGAGAAAAAAGAGAGAGGAAGCAGAAGAUGUAGCAGGAGAGGAAUCUGGAGAGAAAGAAGUCACCGUGGGGCAUGAGCAUGUGGCCAUAAGGACAGACGGCUGAAACAGAAGCAACCCAGACAGGCUGGCUAAGUGACAUUGGCUCAUCCUGGGGGAAGACUGAGUAUCCCUCCCACAACAGGCGUAUGGAUUGCCGGCUGCUCUUCCUCAAAGAACGAAACCUUGUGAGAUUACUCCAUCAGCGCGGCCACAUCAGCUGGGAUUGUCCUUAUUCAGGUGUUGUUCAGGCAGCUAUAUGGCCUUCAGUUUUAAACAUCUAAGAUGGGGAAAAAGAUCCAUGUGUGAGGAGAAUGUUGCAGUCCAGAAGUCCGUGUGUGAAUAGGCAUCUCUGCCAUGCAAAGAGUUCUUCAAGCCUUCACAAAUGAUAUGAAACAAAGAUUCUGAUAAUUUGUAAAAUGGUUUUUGUAAUUAUGUUUUGGCAAAUACUUUAACAAAAAUAAAAAUUAUUUUUUUGACUUGUAGGAUUUUGACGAGGGGGCAGGGGGACACGGACCAUGGGCCAAAAGACAAAGCAACAGACAGAAU